GGGAUAACUAGGUCAUAGCCUCCCAUUAAGUUGGGGGAUAAUGGGUCCAAUGUUUUGAUAAUUAUUGGAGACGCGACACGCCUGGUACUUAUCAAGCAUUGGAAUUGUCAUUCAAUAUAUGAUGAGUUAAAUGUACAUUCAAUAGGCGGUCAGAUGAGCCGAGCCACACUCGGGCUUGGUCGUCUAUUAGUUGAUUAGACUUAACCCUAUCAUUUAAUGGUUGGACUUGACUAGGGUAUUCGGUGGAGGCGCCACACGCCUGCCGAAGAACCUAGGGCAAAAUUAUCACUAGAAGUUGCUUGGUGAAGCAACUGGUUUAGAA
rnacentral:lncRNA from 1 species